AAUAAAAUAGUAACAUGCAUACUAUUUUCUCAAGAUCCAACAAAAUAAACAUGACCAUAUUAUUAAACCCAACUCUAUGUUACAAUAUUCGUGCCUUACAUCCAAAUUUAAAAAUAAAAUAUAAUCUAACAAACUUUAAAGAACACCAUAUAUAUCUUUUUAGAAGAGAGAACAUAACUCUCCACUUUAUUCUCGUAGAAAAACACCUUGAUACUACUACUCAGUUGUAUGGUGGGCUGCAUAUAAUUCAUAAAAGAGAAACACUGAGAAAACAUGGGUGAGUUAAGUUCCAAACUAUAUAAAGUGAAAUUACAAUUGCAAUUGCAAUGGAUAGGAACAAACACACAAAGAUACAUUCGAAACACAAAACCAUCAAAGGUGUACAUAUAAUUGUACAAAAGUCUGUUUGUUUGCUAUAAGCUUGCCAGGUGGUUAAGUUUUCAGUUUGUUUUUCCCAAUAAUAUCGCAAGUCUGUUCGAGGUGUUUCUAGGUAUUAGCGUGAAUAGGAACUUCAAGUUAGGUUGGGUGUUAAUUUGGCAUGCUGCUGUGUGAGUUAUUUGGAACUCUCGGAAUAAUUUAAUAUUUGCUAGGGGAUACUUUGGUUGAAAAGGUGAAACUUUCAUCCUAAAAGUGGUUCUUGGCGAAAAAACCUAGUAACCCCGAUUCCUUCUAUGAGUGAGAGGUUGUUGGGGUUUGGAUUUUGGUACUGAGGUUUCUGCAAUAUGGGUGGUUUAUUCGUUCUACUUUUUCCCUUGUCCUUUCCUUUUCUCCGGAACCAGUUGUUGUGGUUCGGGAUUUGGGUGGGCUGGUGUCUUGUGCCAUGUUGUUUGUGUUUUUGCGUGUUUUUCUUCUCUUUUUUGGUUUCUUCUUUUGAGUACCUCUAGUACUCCUCUUUGUAUUAUUUCCUUCCUUUGGUAACCUCAUUUUGUGCGCUUUUUUAUUUUUAGGUAGUUAAAAAAUAAAAAUAUAAUUGUACAAAAGAUUUAUUAUCAAAUGCAAUGUUCAUGUACUUCUACUCCUUAUGCAUGUUUUUAAAUUAUAUAUGAAAUUUAAGUCGUGAAUAUUUUUAAAAAUUAUAUAGAUAAGACGAUAGUCAGUCGGUCCGACCAGUGAUUCAGUGGUACGAUAAAUGACCCAAUAUCUUGACCGGGUGAAUCAUUGGUUUGGAACUUAAAACUAUAUGUAUAUUUGUUUUUUCUAAAUUCCUCCGAUCAUUUUUAUUUUAUUUUAAAGAGAGUUUAAAAACUGAGCAACAAUGAAAACUAUAAAGAAACCAAUCUAGAGGUAGUUAUCUCCGAUAAGUCAAUAAGUACUCCAACAAACUACUAGCAUGACAACAAUUAUAAAAAUUACAACCAGCUCUUGGAGGAACCAAUACUAACUUAGAACAUCAACACAUUGAUUCACGAUUAGACUCAAAUUCCUCCAAUCAUUUACUAAGUCGUUUUAAUGCCUAAAUUGCAUUCCAAAUUCCCACUCUUAAUUCGGAUUUCUCACAUGAAAGGAGCGGUUCUGUUUCUAAUUUUUCGGGAGUUAUACACUCUACAGUCUACUCUCUAUAUCUAUAUUAUAUGCAAUUAGGAUGAAUUUUAUAAAUGAGACUAUUUUUUUAAUGACAAAUAUAUAUAUAUAUAUAUAUAUAUAUAUAUAUAUAUAUAUAUAUAUAUAUAUAUAUAUAUAUAUAUAUAUAAUCAUCUCUACAACCGCAUAUAUAUACUAGAUGAGUAUUUCAGAAAAAACAAUUUUAUUGAGCCUUAGUAAAAAUUAUAGAACUAAAAUAUUAGACUCAAGUGAUUAAUAAGCUUCUCCCAAACAAUUUUAAAUCGAAUUGUUUAGGAGAACUCGAGUUCAAUUUCUGCUGAGAAUAAUUUUUUGUUACACUUUACAUACCUCAUAGCCGAGCGUAAUUUAGAUUAUCAGGUCCUCUUUUUCCUGAAAAUCAAAGAAUUAAAAAAGACAAAUAAAGAUAUGCAAACUUGUUGAUUGUACAUUGCCACAUCUAAUCUAGAAAAAAAAACAGUAAAAUGCACUAUGACUUGUUGAUUUUAAAUGCACCAUGACUAAUAUAGAAAAAAACAUAUUUUUGGUGGAAUUAAUUUAAAAAAGUUACAAAAAUAGAUAAAUGAUAGUUAUACAGAUCACGUUAGGACCAAACCUCAAAUACACAUAUACAAUUUUUGGAUGUUACAAUUAGUAAAUUGUUUUUGUGAAAAGAUGUAUUUUUAGUUGAUGACCUUUUCCAAUGCAAACAAGGAUUAUGUUUGAAAAAAUAAUAAUAAAUGUGUCUAGGAAUUUGAAAAUGAACUUAUAUUUAGAGACAAAUUUUAUUUUUCAAAUGAUGUGUUGAUAAUUAAGGACGCAACGAGUAUAAUGUUUAACAUGUUUUUAAAGCUAUCAAAGAAAUUGCAAGAUUGGAGAAAGCAUAAGAAAUUUGACGGGUAACAAUGUUAUGAUGAGCGAAGGAAAUACAUACAAGGACAUAAUAGAGAAAUAUUUCUUACCAUAGAGUUUUACAGGUACCAUCAAAGCACACCAUUGAUCCACUAGAAUAUUUAUCCGGAAAUAAUGUAAUACAAUCGGAGUCAAGAACACAUUCUUGUCCUGUUAUGUAAAACAUGAUUAUAGAAAUAUUAAUUAAAUGAGUGAUAUUGUGAAUAAAACAAACAAAAAAAUUAUGAGAAUGAGCUUACUUUUACCAAAGGUUAGAACGAGAAACAUGAAAACAAAAAAAAUCACAUUAUAAGCAAACAUGAGAGUUUUAGUCAUUUUUUCACUUUUGCAUGUAAGAAAUAUAAAAUGAUUUGAUAACUUUAUAUAGUAAAAUUUUCUUGCUUUACGUCAAUUAAUUAAUUUUUAAUCAUUAUGUUGUUGCAAGA
rnacentral:lncRNA from 1 species